CUUCGGGAAACCGAGGCUAAUACCGCAUAAUACCCACGGGUCAAAGGAGCAAUUCGCUUGAGGAGGAGGUCGCGGCCCGAUUAGUUAGUUGGCGGGGUAAUGGCCCCACCAAGACGGUGAUCGGUAUCCGGCCUGAGAGGGCGCACGGACACACUGGAACUGAAACACGGUCCAGACUCCUACGGGAGGCAGCAGUGGGGAAUUUUGCGCAAUGGGGGAAACCCUGACGCAGCAACGCCGCGUGGAGGAUGAAGUCUCUUGGGACGUAAACUCCUUUCGAUCGGGACGAUUAUGACGGUACCGGAAGAAGAAGCCCCGGCUAACUUCGUG
rnacentral:rRNA from 1 species